rnacentral:rRNA from 1 species
GAUGAACGCUGGCGGCGUGCCUAAUACAUGCAAGUCGAGCGAACAGACGAGGAGCUUGCUCCUCUGACAUUAGCGGCGGACGGGUGAGUAACACGUGGAUAACCUACCUAUAAGACUGGGAUAACUUCGGGAAACCGGAGCUAAUACCGGAUAAUAUAUUGAACCGCAUGGUUCAAUAGUGAAAGACGGUUUUGCUGUCACUUAUAGAUGGAUCCGCGCCGCAUUAGCUAGUUGGUAAGGUAACGGCUUACCAAGGCAACGAUGCGUAGCCGACCUGAGAGGGUGAUCGGCCACACUGGAACUGAGACACGGUCCAGACUCCUACGGGAGGCAGCAGUAGGGAAUCUUCCGCAAUGGGCGAAAGCCUGACGGAGCAGCGCCGCGUGAGUGAUGAAGGUCUUCGGAUCGUAAAACUCUGUUAUUAGGGAAGAACAAAUGUGUAAGUAACUAUGCACGUCUUGACGGUACCUAAUCAGAAAGCCACGGCUAACUACGUG